rnacentral:rRNA from 1 species
AUUGAACGCUGGCGGCAGGCCUAACACAUGCAAGUCGAACGCGAAAGUCACUUCGGUGGCGAGUAGAGUGGCGGACGGGUGAGUAACGCGUAGGAAUCUGCCCUGUAGUGGGGGAUAACCCGGGGGAAACUCGGGCUAAUACCGCAUACGCCCCACGGGGGAAAGCGGGGGAUCCUUCGGGACCUCGCGCUAUAGGAAGAGCCUGCGUCGGAUUAGCUAGUUGGUAGGGUAAAGGCCUACCAAGGCGACGAUCCGUAGCUGGUCUGAGAGGAUGAUCAGCCACACCGGAACUGAGACACGGUCCGGACUCCUACGGGAGGCAGCAGUGGGGAAUAUUGCGCAAUGGGCGAAAGCCUGACGCAGCCAUGCCGCGUGUGUGAAGAAGGCCUCGGUU